rnacentral:rRNA from 1 species
UACAGAGGUCUCAAGCGUUGUUCGGAUUCAUUGGGCGUAAAGGGUGUGUAGGUGGCGCCGUAAGUCGGGUGUGAAAUUUCGGAGCUUAACUCCGAAACUGCAUUCGAUACUGCGGUGCUUGAGGACUGGAGAGGAGACUGGAAUUCAUGGUGUAGCAGUGAAAUGCGUAGAUAUCAAGAGGAACACCAGUGGCGAAGGCGAGUCCCUGGACGAUACCUGACACUGAGGCACGAAAGCCAAGGGAGCAAACAGG